rfam:Vigna angularis cultivar Jingnong 6 chromosome 2, whole genome shotgun sequence.
GAGUUUGAUCCUGGCUUAUGAUGAACGUUGGCGACAUGCCUUACACAUGCAAGUGGGACGAGAAGUGGUGUUUUUCCAGUGGUAGACAGGUGAGUGAUGCGUAAGAACCUACUUUUAAGAGAAGAACAAUAGAACAAUAGCUGGAAAUAACUGCUAAUAGCCUGUAAGCUGAAGAGCAAAAAGAGAAAUCCAUCUGAAUAGGGACUCAAGUCUAAUUAGCUAGUUGGUGAAGCAAUAACUUAUCAAAAUGAUGAUCAAUAAAUGGUUCGAGAGGAUGAUCAGUCACACUGGAACUGAGACACAACUCAGACUCCUAAAGGAGGUUUCAAUGGAAAUUUUUUCAUAAUGAGCAAAACCUGAUGAAGCAAUGCAACAUGAAGAUAGGAAGCCUAUGGAUCAUGAACUUCUUCUCCGAAGAAGAAACAAUUUGGGAUCCUAUACAUAUAAAUAAAAUUUAAAUAAAAUACUUGGAGUAAUAAAUAUUAAUA